ACGCUAGCUACAGGCUUAACACAUGCAAGUCGAGGGGCAUCAGUUUGGUUUGCUUGCAAACCAAAGCUGGCGACCGGCGCACGGGUGAGUAACACGUAUCCAACCUGCCUCAUACUCGGGGAUAGCCUUUCGAAAGAAAGAUUAAUAUCCGAUAGCAUAUAUUUCCCGCAUGGGUUUUAUAUUAAAGAAAUUCGGUAUGAGAUGGGGAUGCGUUCCAUUAGUUUGUUGGGGGGGUAACGGCCCACCAAGACUACGAUGGAUAGGGGUUCUGAGAGGAAGGUCCCCCACAUUGGAACUGAGACACGGUCCAAACUCCUACGGGAGGCAGCAGUGAGGAAUAUUGGUCAAUGGACGCGAGUCUGAACCAGCCAAGUAGCGUGAAGGAUGACUGCCCUAUGGGUUGUAAACUUCUUUUAUAUGGGAAUAAAGUGGUCCACGUGUGGAUUUUUGUAUGUACCAUAUGAAUAAGGAUCGGCUAACUCCGUGCCAGCAGCCGCGGUAAUACGGAGGAUCCGAGCGUUAUCCGGAUUUAUUGGGUUUAAAGGGAGCGUAGGCGGAUUGUUAAGUCAGUUGUGAAAGUUUGCGGCUCAACCGUAAAAUUGCAGUUGAUACUGGCAGUCUUGAGUGCAGUAGAGGUGGGCGGAAUUCGUGGUGUAGCGGUGAAAUGCUUAGAUAUCACGAAGAACUCCGAUUGCGAAGGCAGCUCACUGGAGUGUAACUGACGCUGAUGCUCGAAAGUGUGGGUAUCAAACAGGAUUAGAUACCCUGGUAGUCCACACAGUAAACGAUGAAUACUCGCUGCUUGCGAUAUACAGUAAGCGGCCAAGCGAAAGCAUUAAGUAUUCCACCUGGGGAGUACGCCGGCAAC
rnacentral:rRNA from 1 species